rnacentral:rRNA from 1 species
GACGAACGCUGGCGGCGUGCCUAAUACAUGCAAGUAGAACGCUGAAGAGAGGAGCUUGCUCUUCUUGGAUGAGUUGCGAACGGGUGAGUAACGCGUAGGUAACCUGCCU